UACAGAGGUCUCAAGCGUUGUUCGGAUUCAUUGGGCGUAAAGGGUGCGUAGGCGGCGCGGUAAGUCGGGUGUGAAAUCUCGGAGCUUAACUCCGAAACUGCAUUCGAUACUACCGUGCUUGAGGACUGGAGAGGAGACUGGAAUUUACGGUGUAGCGGUGAAAUGCGUAGAUAUCGCCUGGAACGCCAAAGGUGAAAACAGACAGCUGGGAGUGUGCUGACGCUGAGACACGAAAGCCAGGGGAGCGAACGGG
rnacentral:rRNA from 1 species